GACGAACGCUGGCGGCGUGCCUAACACAUGCAAGUCGAGCGGGCCUGUCAAGGCGUUAUGUUUUGGCAGGUUUAGCGGCGGACGGGUGAGUAACGCGUGAGCAACCUACCCUUGAGACAGGGAUAACCCUGGGAAACCGGGGCUAAUACCUGAUAUACUCUAUUAGGGCAUCCUGAUGGAGGAAAGGGCGGGAAGCCGCUCAAGGAUGGGCUCGCGUCCCAUCAGCUAGUUGGUGAGGUAACGGCUCACCAAGGCGACGACGGGUAGCCGGCCUGAGAGGGUGGUCGGCCACACUGGGACUGAGACACGGCCCAGACUCCUACGGGAGGCAGCAGUGGGGAAUCUUCCGCAAUGGGCGAAAGCCUGACGGAGCGACGCCGCGUGAGCGAAGAAGGCCUUCGGGUCGUAAAGCUCGAUAGUGUGGGAAGAAGGAAUGACGGUACCACACGAGAGCCCCGGCUAACUACGUGCCAGCAGCCGCGGUAAGACGUAGGGGGCGAGCGUUGUCCGGAGUUACUGGGCGUAAAGGGCGCGUAGGCGGUCUAGCAAGUCAGGUGUAAAAGGCCACGGCUCAACCGUGGAUAUGCAUCUGAAACUGCUGAGCUAGAGGGCAGGAGAGGGGAGUGGAAUUCCUGGUGUAGCGGUGAAAUGCGCAGAUAUCAGGAGGAACACCAGUGGCGAAGGCGGCUUUCUGGGCCACGACUGACGCUGAGGCGCGAAAGCGUGGGGAGCAAACA
rnacentral:rRNA from 1 species